rnacentral:rRNA from 1 species
UUAACACAUGCAAGUCGAGCGGAAAGGCCCUUCGGGGGUACUCGAGCGGCGAACGGGUGAGUAACACGUGAGUAAUCUGCCCUUGGCUUCGGGAUAGCCACCGGAAACGGUGAUUAAUACCGGAUACGACACAUCACUGUAUGGUGCGUGUGUGGAGAGUUUUUUCGGCCAGGGAUGUGCUCGCGGCCUAUCAGCUUGUUGGUGGGGUAAUGGCCUACCAAGGCUUCGACGGGUAGCCGGCCUGAGAGGGUGACCGGCCACACUGGGACUGAGACACGGCCCAGACUCCUACGGGAGGCAGCAGUGGGGAAUAUUGGACAAUGGGCGGAAGCCUGAUCCAGCAACGCCGCGUGAGGGAUGACGGCCUUCGGGUUGUAAACCUCUUUCAGCACAGACGAAGCGCAAGUGACGGUAUGUGCAGAAGAAGGACCGGCCAACUACGUGCCAGCAGCCGCGGUAAUACGUAGGGUCCGAGCGUUGUCCGGAAUUAUUGGGCGUAAAGGGCUCGUAGGCGGUUUGUCGCGUCGGGAGUGAAAACACCGGGCUUAACUCGGUGCUUGCUUUCGAUACGGGCAGACUAGAGGUAUUCAGGGGAGAACGGAAUUCCUGGUGUAGCGGUGAAAUGCGCAGAUAUCAGGAGGAACACCGGUGGCGAAGGCGGUUCUCUGGGAAUAUCCUGACGCUGAGGAGCGAAAGUGUGGGGAGCGAACAGGAUUAGAUAUCCUGGUAGUCCACACCGUAAACGUUGGGCGCUAGGUGU